GCUGGUCAGGGGGACCUGGCUCCCAUGGGAACCGAGUCCACAGGCCUCGCUGAUAGAGAAGUGGGGGCUCUGCCGAGAUUUGGGGCUAAGCCCUCCAGCCUGCUUAUGGGGAAAAAAACCUCUCAACCCAGACUGGGAGAGGAGGGUUUACUUGCUUGCCCGACUUGUGUUUUUUUGCUGGUAAUAGUUUUCAUUGACUGGGGAGUAAAACUGCUCUCCUCUCCUGAACUGACAGAGCAGGACUGGUAAGGGUCAGCUUUGAUUCUGGUCUUCCCUUUGCUCAUCAUUUUAUUUGAGUGCCGUGAGGACAUUCCCCUAUCAGGUUCUUAGGCCCUGGAGCAAGAGUCCUGAGCAGCCACUGUUUGAGGGGUGAGCCAGGCACCGGUGCACUCCAUGGCCUCCGGGAAGCGAGGUGGUACAUGUGGCAGAGCUCCCCAAGACUGCUCCUGCUGUGCCCAGCGUGACCCGCCCCCAGACAGGGGGCCGCUGGGGCCAUGGAUGGAUGUGGGGCUGGCAGGAGGGCCCAGUUCUUGGUUUGGGCUUCAUUUCCACUCUUAGCAGGUAAGAAUCUUAGGUUUCAGCUUGAGCUCUUGGAAAAGCUAAGAAGCACCUUGUUGCCAUUCCUCUCAACUGUCUCCUCUACCUAGGGGUCAGACUUUUUAAAAAAUUUGUGGUAAACUAUUUGUAACAUAAAAUUUACCAUUUUAACCAUGUUGAGGCUUACAGUCCAGUGGCAUUUAGUAAAUUUAUAUCAUGCAUCCA
rnacentral:lncRNA from 1 species